CUGUGCGUGCGGAGGCCGCCCAAGUGCAGCCUUGGCUCUGUGUGGGGACCAGGGGGCCUGGAGCCGGCCCCAGCUGUCCUCCCACAGGCCCCUUUCUUCUCACGCUCAGCUGCACGAGGCCCCACCAGGCCUGGCCUCCUCCGACGCUAUGACGCAGUGUCGGUGCCUCUCACGUCCAUGGGCCAGACCGUGUGACUCAGCCUCUCAGGGCUCUGCGCGGGCCAAGCUUCCAGGUCCACGUCACCUCCAUCAAGGCAGGAGAGGAGGGCCAGGUCCGCAUCACCUCCAUCAAGGCAGGAGAGGAGGGCCAGGUCCGCGUCACCUCCAUCAAGGCAGGAGAGGAGGGCCAGGUCCGCGUCACCUCCAUCAAGGCAGGAGAGGAGGGGCUUCCUCAGCGACCUCAGCAAAGGAAGCAGGUGUCUUUGCUCUCCACUCCCAAACCCAGGCCAUGUGGGAUGCAGGAGAGAGAGCCACAGACUCUGCCUUCUCCUCUCCCACCCACCCCUAAGGCCUCUCACUCCCUCAGGCUGAUGGGUUCUGACUGAGACUUUUUUCUCUCUCCUUUUUUUUUUUUUUUUUUUUAGAUGGGAGUCUUGCUCUGUUGCCCAGGCUGGAGUGCAGUGGUGUGAUCUCGGCUCACUGCAACCUCCAACCCCCAGGUUCAAGGGAUCUCUUGCCUCAGCCUCCCGAGUAGCUGGGAUUACAAGCAUGUGCCACCGUGACCAGCUGAUUUUUGUAUUUUUAGUAGAGAUGGGGUUUCGCCAUGUUGGCCAGGCUGAUCUCGAACUCCUGACCUCAGGUGAUCCACCCACCUCGGCCUUCCACCGCACCCAGCCCUGACUGGGACUGUUAACAGCUUUACCCAAACAGGGACCGAAGGAGAGGCUGACAGUGUUAUUCAGGAGCACAGAUGCACCAGUGACCUGACCUUGGAGGCAUCCCACACGCCCUCAGUCCCCCGGCGGGCCCUGCCACCACCCCUCAGCGUUGCCGGAUGUGCGGCUGAGGUCCAAGGUUUGGAGAGUUUCCGGGACUGGCCGGGUCACCCUGCGGCUCGGCCGUGUCUGGCAGCCCCACCCUUCCUGGCAGCCAGGCCCUCUGAAAUUCCGCCAGCACCGGGGGACGAAGAAGGUCUUGCUAGGAUGGGGGAGGGCGGGAAGACGGGGAGCACGAGCCGGCUUUGCCCUCCCAUCCAGCCACGCGGAGAAUCCAUCCCUGGCGGUGCCGACUGCUCCUGCUAGUGGGGAAGGAAGCUCCUCCCGGCACCAGGACCGAGCGCCUCCACCAGGCCUGCUAGAGGAUCACACCUCCAUCUCACCAUAGAGCCCCCCACAGCCGAAAAAGCCCUCCCACAUCCAGUUCCCCCAGACACUUGGUGGCUUUUCAGGAGACACGGUUCUAACACCCAUUUCACAGAGAAGAGCACUGAGUCCGUCUCUGGCCGUGAGGCUAUGGCAGGGCUGGGACUGGAAGCAGGGCCUUUCAUUUGACUUCUUGUAGGUUUCUUCCGG
rnacentral:lncRNA from 1 species